rnacentral:rRNA from 1 species
GAAACCGCCCUCGGGCGGACAUGAAGUGGCGAACGGGUGAGUAACACGUAUCCAACCUGCCCUUUACUCGGGGAUAGCCUUUCGAAAGAAAGAUUAAUACCCGAUAGUAUAAUGAUUCCGCAUGGUUUCAUUAUUAAAGGAUUCCGGUAAAGGAUGGGGAUGCGUUCCAUUAGGUUGUUGGCGGGGUAACGGCCCACCAAGCCUUCGAUGGAUAGGGGUUCUGAGAGGAAGGUCCCCCACAUUGGAACUGAGACACGGUCCAAACUCCUACGGGAGGCAGCAUG